CCCAUGUCAUGUAGUUCUUGCCCGAAAUUUCAAGGGCAAUAAACUUUCUUUUCAUAAUGUUAUAAACAAACUUGAGACAAACUAUAAGCAAAUUUGUAAAACAUGUGAAAUGAAUACAUAACUAUUUGCUUCCCAUGAUCUAAUGAUCAGAUGAAUAUAAAACAACACGACAAACAAGAUUAUGUGGAGAUAGGAAACAAUACAGGUGCACACACUAAGUACCAUUGCAGGCAUAACAUUGCAAUUUUAUGAACUUAUGCAUUAUCAGAAUUGUACAUUGAUAUAAUGAUAUGAAUAAACUUAAUAAUGAUAUGCACAUAUGAAGAAACACUAAACAAUAAUAAUAGUGAUAAUAGGCAAAACAAGUGAGAAAUAUUCAUGACGUUCAACUCCGUAAAAUAUGAAGAAACACAGAAUAAUACUAAGGUUAAACACAAUAUAUUAAAUAUAGUAAUAGCUUAAUUAAAAUGUAACAAAGACUUAACAAUUUGUGCAAGUAGAGCAGUUAUACCAUAAAGCAAUGUCUUUCAUUCAUGUGAAUACAUGGCAUGUGUGGUGAGUGCAUGAUAUAAAACACGAUAAAUUGAAUUUCCAGUUCCAGAGAUUGACCAUCAUUCAAGACCAUCAAAUGGUUGUCGUAAAACUUUUAGGGCUCAGAGAAAGAAGGAAGCAAGAAGGAAGAGAGAAAAAAAAAAUACCUUAAUUUUCUCAAAGAGAUUCUUGAGAUAGUAGAGCUUCGUGCUGAUAACGUGUUAUGAAAU
rnacentral:lncRNA from 1 species